UGCUUGCAUUUAGAAUGGUUGGGGUUUUUUUAUUACUCCUCUUUAGAGGAACAAAAGCUUAGAACUGGGGAGGGAGAGAAGAGUGGAGAAGGGAAUAGCUAAAGAUUUUCCCUGAACUGAAUCAAAUAACAAGGGAAAUUUGGGUGUCAUUUGUUUUCAUCUACUGUUUUCCAGCUGAUACAUCAACCCAGGAACUCCCAAAACCACAUACUCUGUACUUAACAGGAUGAGGAAGAAGUGAAAGCUGAGGUACAAGUGAAAAUGAAACAGUCUGUGCAUAAGGAUGUGGCCAGAGCUGAGGGAUGCAAGACAGAGUUGGUUGUUUCAUCACCUCAUGGCUGAGCAGGACUGACAGUUUUGUGUUUAAUGUUUGCCAUCUAAAUUUCACCAUUAGGUAUCUGAAAAUCAGGAGUAGAAAAGAAAGAAAAUGAGAACCACACUGAUAAUGCAGAAUAAUUUUAAUGGGAAGGGAUAGAACAAAACUGCUAGGAAAAAUAACAGUGUAAAGGGCCCAAUUCUAGACACAGAUUCUGUCACUCAUAUGCUUGCAUUAACCUCUAUAUUCAAGUAAUAACUUUCAUCAAAUACUGUUUCCUUGACAUUAGAUGCAGAGGAUCAAUUUCUUUUUCCCCACACUUUUCUUGCAGAAACUAAAAGUCAGAUACAAAUGAUGUGUAUAUUUAUCCAAAGGAAAAGUGAACUUCCUGGUGACUGAUUAUCUCUAAUUACCUGCCUGAGAAUGUACCUGAGAGGGAAAACACCCUAGGAACUUAAGCUUCUGGCUUCUCCUUCUCUGGAGCAUGCUCUUCACUCUUGCUCUCAGAUGGUUGGUAGCUGCUGUUGCUGGGUCUGCUGCAAGGAUGCAUCCAGUGGGAAGAAAACACGUAGGAGCAUCGUGGUGCACACUGAGGCACAGGGAGGAUGAGGCAAAUGACACAGCUGGGGACACACUGUGGUGGAGAAGAUCCUAUCUGGGCAGCCACCAAGGACAACUGGAGAGAUGCUGCAGCUGUGGCCAGAGACUUCAACACAGCCACUGCUGGGACCAUAAAACCACUGGUCAUACAAGAAUGGGUAUGAGAUACCCCUGUACUGGAGAACAUCCUUGCUGGGACUAUGUCUCACUUACAGAGUCUGCCCAGCCCUCAUUAGAGUAA
rnacentral:lncRNA from 14 species